GGUGAGAUGGCUCAGUGGGUAAGAGCACCCGACUGCUCUUCCGAAGGUUCAGAGUUCAAAUCCCAGCAACCA
rnacentral:tRNA from 1 species